GGCCGGUUAGCUCAGACUGUUGAGUGUAGCGCUAGCAACGCUAAGGUCGCAGGUUCGAUUCCCGUUUGGUCCC
rfam:Apaloderma vittatum contig72096, whole genome shotgun sequence.